rnacentral:rRNA from 1 species
GAUGAACGCUGGCGGCAUGCCUAAUACAUGCAAGUCGAGCGAAGCGGGGACGGGUGAGUAACACGUGGAUAACCGCCUAUAAGACUGGGAAAACGUCGGGAAAACGGAGCAAACCCGGAAACUUAUAGAAUGAAACGCGCUGGAUUAGCAAGUGGGUAAGGUACCGGCUUACCAAGGCCACGAUGCAUAGCCGACCUGAGAGGGUGAUCGGCCACACUGGAACUGAGACACGGUCCAGACUCCUACGGGAGGCAGCAGUAGGGAAUCUUCCACAAUGGGCGCAAGCCUGACGCAGCAACGCCGCGUGUGUGAUGAAGGUCUUCGGAUUGUAAAGCUCUGUUAUUAGGGAAGCGGUACCUACUCAGAAAGCCACGGCUAACUACGUGCCAGCAGCCGCGGUAAUUC